UACGGGAGGGUGCAAGCGUUAAUCGGAAUUACUGGACGUAAGCGCACGUAGGUGGUUGACUAAGUCAGCCUGUGGAAAUCCCCGGGCUCAACCUGGGACUUGCAGUUGAAACUGGUGAGCUGAGAGUAGGGUAGAGGGGUGUGGAAUUCCAAGGUGUAGCGGUGAAAUGCGUAGAUAUCUGGAGGAACAUCAGUGGCGAAGGCGACACCCGUGGACUCAUACUGACACUGAGGUGCGAAAGCGUGGGGAGCAAACAGG
rnacentral:rRNA from 1 species